GAUGAACGCUGGCGGCGUGCCUAAUACAUGCAAGUCGAGCGAAGCGGGGACGGGUGAGUAACACGUGGAUAACCUCCUAUAAGACUGGGAUAACUUCGGGAAACCGGAGCUAAACCGGACACUUAUAGAUGGUUCCGCGCUGCAUUAGGUAGUUGGUAAGGUAACGGCUUACCAAGGCAACGAUGCAUAGCCGACCUGUGAGGGUGAUCGGCCACACUGGAACUUGGACACGGGCCAAACCCCUACGGGAGGCAGCAGUAGGGAAUCUUCCGCAAAUGGCGAAAGCCUGACGGAGCAACUCCGCGUGAGUGAUGAAGGGCUUCGGAUCGUAAAACUAUGUUAUGAGGGAAGCGGUACCUAAUCAGAAAGCCACGGCUAACUACGUGCCAGCAGCCGCGGUAAUUUC
rnacentral:rRNA from 1 species